GACGAACGCUGGCGGCGGGCUUAACACAUGCAAGUCGAACGAACGCCUUCGGGCGUUAGUGGCGCACGGGUGAGUAACACGUAGGCAAUCUACCCUCGGCUGGGGAAUAACCAGGGGAAACCCUGGCUAAUACCGCAUAACAUCUGGACGUCACCUGGCGACCAGAUCAAAGCUUUAUGUGGCCGAGGAUGAGCCUGCGUCGGAUUAGCUAGUUGGUGGGGUAACGGCCUACCAAGGCGACGAUCCGUAGCGGGUCUGAGAGGAUGAUCCGCCACACUGGCACUGAGACACGGGCCAGACUCCUACGGGAGCAGCAGUGAGGAAUAUUGCGCAAUGGACGAAAGUCUGACGCAGCCACGCCGCGUGCAGGAAGA
rnacentral:rRNA from 1 species